GUUACAUCUAAUAUUCUGGAUAAGAUUCCAGUCAACCACGUAGAGCUCGUCAACCUCAGAAAAUGAUUUGAAAUAAGGUAAUAGUGACCCUGUGUUGAACGAUGCUUUUUUUGUUUGCAGCAAGGACAUAAGUAUAGUGCGGCAUGCGUCUGCUUUCCACCUGGGGUAUCUUUUGGCAGACUUGGUUAUCAGCAUUAGUGUUCCAGUGACCGGGCCUUUUACGGCCUGGAGUUUUACGGGAGUUUUACAUCACGCCAUGUCAAUUUGUGCAGAACAUUUGUCACUUGUAAGUUCCACAUCGUUACAUUAUCACAAGACCAACGUUGUUACACAUACAUGAACACGUGUGUCCGUGAAAAACUUCACCAGAUUAACAAAUAGUAUAAAACGUUAUAACAAGUCGUACAGCCAAUUUCCGAUUUCUCAUAGCUCGUUCUAUUUCACACUGCAGCUAUGUGUUGCUGUUGCAGCUCAGUUAUGAAUCAUAAUAAGAGGAGAAAUAUGAACGUUUGCCACCGUGAGGUGAGGCCACCGGUGCACCGCAUUCGUCACAUUGUAAGAGCGACACCUAGCUGCAGUGCGAAGUAGAGCCAUGAGGAAGGCGACAGAGAAAAGACGACCACGAAAAGAAAAGUGUUGGUUGUGUACAAAGGACUUUAUUUGUUAUCUAUGUACAGGUUUGUCUGAUUUCUCAUAAUCGUUUCUUCUAUAGGUUCACGGUUUGGACCCGUAUGUGGUAGUGUUUCAUCAGAGGAUGGAUCUAACAACGCCACUUGGCUGUUUACGGUAAGCCGCAUUUGCAAACCUGACCCAUUCAAGUCAGCAUCUGAAAUAGAAUUUGUAUACCUCAUGGACAGUAUAUAAACAGAAAAGUAUUGUAUCUGUAGUGACGUGCUUAUUAAUAUUGAGUACAUCUAAAGAAAGUUGCUAACUGCAUCAAAAUGUAACGGACGCAGGAAUUUUCAUAGAUUCUAUUUCAGGCAGGGAACUUAAGAAUUAUGUGAAAUUAGUUGUUUCUGAAACUAGAAAGGCAACAUUUUCAAGAAAAUGCAGGAUGUUUCCCUUCGAGUAAUUUGCCCUUUGUCAAGCUACGCACACUACUAUACCAUUACGCUCGCCACUGAAGCGUCGCCAAAAACAACAUAAGAAGAAAAGAAGAAAGAAAAACACACUAUCAAAAACAUUUUUUUUCUGUACUUGAAAUAUGAUUAUAGGAAAUCCAACCAUUUCGGGCAGAAAUACGUUACAGACUAACGAAGAAUCUUGAUUAUGUAUUCACGCAGACACCCAAACGCACUCCUGUGACCUCUCUCUCAUUUCAGGGUCAUACUACAGACGCUGGGUGUUUCCCGUGAUGCACCGGGGUACUUGCCGUUGUGGGUAGGGUCAUUGACCUUCUAUCUGUGCAUCCGGAUUCUUGUCCUCCCUUUCUACUGGUACAACUUUGUCUCGUUAAUUCUGCCACAGAUGGACGAGAUAAAAAGGUGUGGAUACCAGCUGUGCGUUGUGUUGUUCUUCUGCCAGCCAUGCGGACAUUUGCUGAAUUUGUACUCUUGGUCACGUCAGUUCAUGAGCUUGAAACGGUAUCUGAUGAACAGGAAGACGAACGUAAUCUAGUCUUUACGCCAAAUCGUGUUUCCGACUUUUCAUCUAUGUCUAUCUUGUGAAUAGAGUAGGAGGUUCUGCGGAAGUUGCGGAGAGUGUACCUUUGGGCCUUCGUAGUUUCAUGUGUUGAUCGAAGCAAAAUUCGGUUUCAAACACAGCUAUGCCGUGGCGUCAGUAGACAUAAGUUAGAUACAACACGUGGUAACAGAAUUGAUGAAAUAGGUAAAGGAUGAGGGAUAGAAAUAGAAACAUUAACGUUAUAGAUCUAUCUGAUGUGUUUAUGUUAUAUACAUAUAUAUAUACA